rnacentral:rRNA from 1 species
AGUGAACGCUGGCGGUAGGCCUAACACAUGCAAGUCGAACGGCAGCACAGUAAGAGCUUGCUCUUACGGGUGGCGAGUGUCGGACGGGUGAGGAAUACAUCGGAAUCUACUUUUUCGUGGGGGAUAACGUAGGGAAACUUACGCUAAUACCGCAUACGACCUACGGGUGAAAGCAGGGGAUCUUCGGACCUUGCGCGAUUGAAUGAGCCGAUGUCGGAUUAGCUAGUUGGCGGGGUAAAGGCCCACCAAGGCGACGAUCCGUAGCUAGUAUGAGAGGAUGAAUCGACAGACGGGCACUGAGACACGGUCCACACACCGAGAGGAGGACGCGGCGGGGAAUACUAGGCGAUGGGGGAAAGGCUGAUCCAGGACAACCGCGGAAGGGCAGAACGACCUAUGGUUGGAAAGCGAUUUUGUUGGGAGAGAAAAAAAGCAGGUUUAUCCCCCGCUGUUAUGACGGUACCCAAAGAAUAAGCACCGGCUAACUUCGUG